rnacentral:rRNA from 1 species
CACCUCUAGCAUAAAAAGUAUUAGAGGCACCGCCUGCCCGGUGACAAAAGUUAAACGGCCGCGGUAUUCUGACCGUGCAAAGGUAGCAUAAUCAUUUGUUCUCUAAUUAAGGACUUGCAUGAACGGCGACACGAGGGAUUAACUGUCUCUUACAUUUAAUCAAUGAAAUUGACUUUUCCGUGAAGAGGCGGAAAUAAAUUAAUAAGACGAGAAGACCCUAUGGAGCUUAAAUUAACACAACUCUACACAUUUAAAAAACAAUUCAACAAGAAAUAACAAAUAAUUUACUCAGAGUUUAAAAUUUUGGUUGGGGUGACCUCGGAGCAUAAUAAAACCUCCGAAAGACUAAUAUACUAGACCUACAAGUCAACAUUAACACAAGUCUCAAUUGACCCAGAAAUCUGAUCAACGGACCAAGUUACCCUAGGGAUAACAGCGCAAUCUUAUUGGAGAGUCCAUAUCGAUAAUAAGGUUUACGACCUCGAUGUUGGAUCAGGACAUCCUAAUGGUGCAGAAGCUAUUAAAGGUUCGUUUGUUCAACGAUUAAAGUCCU